CUUGCUUAAAUGCAGAGCUGACAGACAGCAAUUGUUACUUGUGCUUAGCUAUGAAUAUACCAGGGGUUCUCAGCUGAUUUUCAUCACGGUAGCAACAGUUCAAAUGAAAUGGGACCAUCAUACCUGAGCCAGCUUGUCGCUGCAUUCAUGCUUAGUUGUUGGUGGCUGACUUGACUGCGCUGGAGGACAAUGAAAGCCCUCUGUUCUGCCCUUUAUCGAGUGUUCAGGCGUCCGACCCUCAGUGAUCAGCAAGGCCAAGGAGACCAGGAACUCCUCAGCUUCAUACUCAAAGUACUCAUCUAAAGUAUCUCGUUCUGACUUCAUUUUCCCCGCUUCCUCGGAGCUCCGAGACGAGCCCGCGCGUCGGCGCCGUUCCUCGGACGGAGAGCCGCGGCAGCGGUGAGGGCGCACCAGGGGUUCCGCGGGGCCCCGCCGGCAGUCGGGCCCGGAGCUCGCUGCGCCGCGCUGGGCUGAGCCGAGCCGAGCUGGGCCCGCCUCCCGCCGGGUGUCCUCCCCUGACACGGCGCCGGGCGGGCUAUUUAUAACCGCCGGGAGGGACCCGCGAACGCAGCCACUUCCCC
rnacentral:lncRNA from 1 species